CGACUCCCUCCCGGUAAAGGCUAGCCACCAGCCGGAAGCGAGCCUUGCAUGCGAGUGCGGUGACGCACUACUUGAAGCGUAGGCAGCAGGUACCGAAGCCAUGUGAUUGAGCCUCGAGAUAAUCAACUGUUGGUGUCUUCACUUUCCGAACACUGGGGACAGCACUGUGCGAGCCGUAAUGGUGAGGCUCGCCAGACCGACCGGGGUCCGAGAGCA
rnacentral:ncRNA from 1 species